ACGUAGGGGGCGAGCGUUGUCCGAAUUCACUGGGCGUAAAGCGCGCGUAGGCGGACCUUUAAGUCAGGGGUGAAAUGCCGAGGCUCAACCUCGGAACUGCCUUUGAAACUGGGGGACUUGAGGUAUGGAGAGGGAAGUGGAAUUCCUGGUGUAGGGGUGAAAUGCGUAGAUAUGAGGGGGACCACCGGUGGCGAAGGCGGCUUACUGGCUAUGUUCCGACGCUGAGGUGCGAAAGCCAGGGGAGCAAAGGG
rnacentral:rRNA from 1 species